GGAGAUGAAAUUUCCAGAUUAUAUCAUUUGGAAACUUUGGAAUGCAACUUCCGUGAUCUAGACGAUUUCGGAUUUUUCCAAUCUGGACGGAGAGUUUCACAAAUUGCAUGCAAGGUUACUGUAGGACGACCUUCUUUCUCUUCACUUGAAGAUCUUAAUUAUACAAGAUCGAAGUCUGGGUUAAUUAAAGAGGCUUGGUUUUAUGACCUCAUGAUUGACAAUGCAGUUUGUCUGUUCCCGCGCUUCUUUACAAAAGUAGUUAUUGUGAGAUGUCAAAACAUGAGAAGCUUAUGUCCAUCAUAUGAAAUUAAAGUGCUUAGCGGGCUUGAGAUUCUACACCUUGAUGGUUUGAUGAUCUUAGAAACCCUUUUUGAAGCAGAACCUUCAGAGCUACGUACUGCUGGUGUCUUCUACAAUCUCAGAGAGAUCGUGAUACAUAAAUGUCAUAGGAUAAAGGUGCUGCUCCCUUGGUUUUUGUCUACACUCCGAUUGGAAGUGAUUGUAGUCGAAGAUUGUUACAACAUGCAGGAGAUAAUGGGAAGUGGUGAAGUUUUGGUACAUGGAGAGGAGCAUUCCUCUCCAUUUGGUAGUUUUGAUACGACAUUGAGGGUUUUGGUAUUGAAGAAAUUACCGAAUUUGAAAAGCAUUUAUUCUGGAAGACUUCAAUGCAAUUCUCUCGAAGAGAUUACCGUGGGUGAUUGCCCGCAGCUAACGAGGAUCCCGUUCACUAUUUCCCAUUCUCUUAAGAAAAUUGAAGUAGAUCCUGAAAGUUUGCUGAACACAGUUGAGAAUGUUUCAUGAUUUCUAGCCAUUUGCAAUUAUUCCGGGGAUGAAAUUAGGAUUUUAUGAUUUCUAGGGAUUGUUUUGUAUUUUGGUACUGGAACCUUUACCUUAUAGUAAAGGUAUGACGUCAUGCUAUUUAUGUAAGGAGUGCUCGGGAGGGUGAUAGAAAUUAACAUUUCAGAAUUUUUUUUAUUUAAAUUUUUUAUUAUUAUUAGUAUAUUAAAAUAAUUUAAAAAUAUUAAAAAAAUAGUGAAAAUAUUAAAUUUAGAAAUUAACAUUUCAGAAGUGAUAGCAUCCUGUAGAUAUAGGUUCCUUCCAGCAUCAACUUCACUUAAACAUUUCAUAUUUAUCCUCGGCAGUCGACAGUCUACAACGCCAGUGCUGAUAAUGUUCUUUCUUCUCUUCUCUUAUCUUCUCUUCUCUCUUCUCUUUUCUAUUAUUCAUUUAGAAGAUUUUUCUAGCUCUAAAUCCAAGUCCAGAUCUUAUAAUUACUUUACAGAUCUUUGCAAGAAAAAUUACAGAUUGUUUUAGGUGCAAAAUGCAAACUUUGCUGCAAUUACGGGACAAAAAAACUUUCAAGCACGCACAUGAUAACUUGGACUAAAAAUCAUUGCUUCCCUGGGAGAGAGUGGCUUGUGCCUUAAACACUCCAUGGAAUUUGUGAUAUUCUUUUCUAAUCGAAUUUCAAGAUGAGUGUCUUUCAGAUCAAAAAAGGUCAAAUUAACCAUUUAGAUCACAAAUUCUGAGUGCAGCAUUAAAACAAAUGUUUUCAUAGUCAAACCGUUGUCGGCUAACAAGUGCGCUGUAACUUCUCGUGGCUUUAAUUGAUUUGCUCCAAGACAGGGAAGAACAAGUGUUACUUCCCUAGUGUUGGAUCCAAGCACAAUGUUUUAAGAAUCAUUUGCUACAGUAUCCAUACUUUUUAUUAGCGCAUCAAGUAGCACUUGACUGGCUAAAAAGUUGGAAAAAUGCUAGCAAUUAUUUAUUUAUUUAUUUUUAGUGGAGGGUCAUUAAUAAAAAAAAAUCACCUGAAAUAUACCUAUGUACAUAACUUGAUGUUCAAAUAAUUAAGGUAAUGAAACUAGUGAGUGUGUAUAUAUAAUCCAAAAUAACUUAAAAGUUUUUUAUUUGGUGUGUCGAUCCAUGAGUAACUCUUGGAUCAACUAUUAUAUAGAAUUUUAACUUUACGUAAACAGUAAGUAUAUUAAUAAAGUUUUUCUUUCAUAACCCUAACAUAUAAAUACCUUGUUUUUUUUUUCCUACUCUUCUAAAUCAAGAAUUAUUAUACUAUCCAACCUUAAAGGUAUAUAUGCACUGCCGCUACUUGCUUCCAAUGUCUUUUUACCUUUAUAUAUAUUGAGGUUUUAGAACAAUGGUCCAUCGUAAUUAAUUUCUUGAAAUUCUCUUCAUAGAUUCAAUAAAAAAAAAACUUAGAGAAAUUGUUGCUAGAUGCAUUUAUAUUUCUACAAGUCUGAAAACUCAAAUGAUAGAAUACAAAUGAAGACAAUAAAACUAAAAAAAAAAGACUGUAAGAUUAGAGGUACAUUUUUUCAACAAAAUAUUGCUAAAAGAUUGUUGGUGGGAGAUCAAAGGAUUAGGCAUCACUUAUUGUUUUAUUUCACUUUCAUAUGAUUGAUUUCAUUUAAUUUUUUAUUAAGACAAAUUUACUGUUCUCUAUACAAUGAACUAAUUUAUUAUUAUUUUAUGAUGUUAAACUUGGAUGUUUUCUUAUUAUUUAAUAUCUUGUAAUUGACGUGUUUUAAUUUGAAGCAAAUAAAAAAAUUUAAUUUUUUUUUAAAAAACGCUUUGAAAACACAAAAAUAAACAAGCCCUAGAAGUGUUUGUUUUCGUGAUUUCAUUUGUUUUUCAAGACUUUUAAAAUAUUUCUAAAAUUAGUUUUUAUUUAAAAAAGCAUAUCAGUGAUAUCAUUUAAGUAUUUAUCAAUUAUUUUGAUUUACUAAUAUUAAAAAUAAAAUUAAAAAAUAUUGUUUGAUUUAUUUUCAAUUAAAAUUAUUGAAAAUUAAAAGUAUCUAUAUUGCAUACCAAACACAAAUUAAGAAAUGGACUAAGAAAUGAACCCGAGACUAGACAAAGAACAGUGCAAGCACAUCAGUCAUUUGUUGAGAGAGGACGCUCUUCUAGAAAGGCCUGUACACAAGUGUUCUUGGACUAAAAAAUACGUAUUGCUGGCAGCGAAGCUAGUGGGCCGAGCGUUUGAAAGAAAUACGAAGAUGAUGAAGUUUAAAAAUUCAAGAAUAUAAAAUAAAAAGGUAUUUGAUGUUAGGGAUAUUGGUUUAUUAAUAUGUUAAAAAUUUUGGAUUUCUUUUAAUCUAAAAUAUUUUAAAUUAACCAAGAAGAUCUUGCAUGCCUGCAAUAAAAUAAUUUUAAUUGGGGGACUUAAAGAUCCUCUGAUGAUAAAGUUAGUAUCUUUUGAGAGAAAUAAAAUACAAGAAUAUUCUAAAAAUAUGCUCUAAAAAUAUAAAUGCAGUAGAAAAUUAGAGAUCGUGAACCUUUGUUAUGAAGCUUUUAAUAUGUAUUUAUAACCCACAAAUCUUGUUCUUUUAUAAAAAGGAGAGCCUGCAGUGUAAUUAUCUUAAUAAUAUUUAAUGAAAGAUAAAUAUUUCUUACCUGAUAGGAAUAUGGUGGGUCUUUGAAAAACUUUUAUACACCUAAAAAUAUGUACGAAGAUUAGAGUUUAGGACAUUAAAUUUAGCUAAGCCUAUAGAGACCGAGUUCUUCCCUGAGGUUAGAUCCAAGGGAGGUUGGUCAUUUUCCCGAACAUGUCAAGGGAGGAUAGUCAUUAUCUUGAACGUGACUGACUGUCAAGUCUAAACAUGCAUGCUAGACCCACGCUACCUUGAGUCUUGCAUGCGUGUCAGGUCCAAGCUACCUACUCAUAGGCCUUGAACUUGACUGACUGUUAAGUUCAAGCGUCUUGGGUUUAACAUGUAUGUCAAAUCCAUGUUAUCCUAGACUUGACGCACUACCAAGUCUAAGUGCCUAGGAGAAUUGCCUUUUUAAUCUAGCUCUACUGAGAGACAGCUCAAAAUCCAAAAAUUUUAAGAAAAAUAAAACAAAACCUACAUUAAUGCAAGAAAUCUGAAAUACCCUAGGAAAAAUAACAAAAUUGGCCUAAACAAGGGCAUCCAGGCUUGAAACCUAAUUUUGGAAGGUCAAUCGGUGUAAAAAGGUACACAAUCGCUUUUUAUAGGAAAAUUAUCUUUUUAAUUACUUGAAAAAAUUUUAAGUUUGAUUCAACGACCAAAUCUCUAGAUAUCUUAUUUUUAAGAUAUUAACAUGGCCUGAAAUAAUCAAACCUUCGUUUAAGUUUAGGCUUGUCCUACUUAUACAUAAAAAAUCUGUUAGACCAUCUAAGUAGAAGAUCAAAUCCCUACAUGAAUGCUCAUAACCUUCUAUUUCUAAAAGCCCGGCUGCAUUAUCCUAACUUGUAAUGUGCUGUUGUCGUCUGGCCAACUGAUAAAUACUCUAUUAAAAACGACGUAUCUUUCUAACAUCCGGAGGUAUAGAUUACAGUUUCACCUCAACUGAUAAAUACUCUACAAAACCAAUCCGAAUGAAUUAAAUGUUUUAUAAACAGUUAUUGUUUGAGUCGGAUUUGAGUAUAAUUAAAAGAACCGAUAAUGAAUACUAUACAUGUAUACAAAUUUUAAACUUAAAGGUUGUUUGCUAGUCUCAUUCUCAACCGUCUCCAUCUGUGAACAUACUGCUCUCAAAAUCAACUCUACUGCUUUCUCUUUUCUUUGCCUAUUGCUUUCUCUCCAUCUGUGGAUCGUGCUCUUUCUCAUCGUUUGCAUUGUUGGCGUGCUGUCCACAGUAAAGAAGGACAACCUCUUUUGGAUGAUGGAUUGGAGGAUGAUUGGGGGGAGAGAUUGUGCUUACUGAAGAGACCAUGGUUCCUAGCAUACUUAUGCCUGAUGCACCUGAGACUGGAUUGGGAACAGAGCCAGCAAGUCAAGCAUUUGAAAUGGAUAUGAAUAACAUCCCGUCUUCAUUGAUGAAGGAUGUUGAGUUGAGUAGUGGUAUAGAGAACAUGAUACACAUAUGUCAUCGAUUGAAGGUGCUACUCCCUGCUUGGUUGUUGUCUAGACUCCGAUUGGAAGUGAUUGGAGUCGAAGAAUGUGAUGGAAUGGAGGAGAUAGUGGGAACAGAUGAAGAGGGGAGAACCCAUCAGAGGAUAGUUUCUUGCUUUGAUACGACAUUGAGGGUUUUGGUAUUGAAGAAAUUACCAAAUUUGAAUAGCAUUUAUUCUGGAAGUCUUUUAUGCAAUUCACUUGAGGAAAUUACUGUGGGUGAUUGCCCGCAGCUAACGAGGAUCCCGUUCACUAUUUCCCAUUCUCUUAAGAAAAUUGAAGCAGAUCCUGAAAGUUUGUUGAACACAGUUGAGCAUUUUUGAAGACCUGGCCUCUUACCCACAAGAAGAUGCAUUUCACAAUUAGAAGCAGAGCUCCCUGGUGAAAUGCCAUGACCGGUAAGCAAGCUUCAUUGUCUCCUCUCUACCUUUCGUUUCUUCUUUUUUUGGAGAAAGAGAAGAUUUCUGGAUCAAAUUCACCCAUCUGUUUCAAUAUUCAUUUCACAGCACCCGUUAUGGUCAUGGUUUCCAAUCAUGUUUUGUUGUGAUUGGUUCCUCGUGGCUUAAGCAAGAUAUGGUAACGUUGACAAGAAGGCAUUGUUGGUGGAAGAAAAUGAAAUUAAGCCCCUCUGUUCAGAAUCAUCCCUAUCAUAGCAAAUAAAUCGCUAUUUUCUAUCUCCGAAGCUAUUUGUAGUGGAAGGAUUAUUAGUGAGACUUGCCUUGUAUUUGUGGUCUCUGAAGCUACUUGUAGUGGCUACCUAUAAAUAGAGACUCGUCUUUUCAUGCAUCAACUUGCUUAAAUAAUCCCUAUGAUAGUCUCUUGUUAAUUUGUAGCCAAAAUAUUACUCUGCUGGAGACAAAUACGAUAAUUAAUAUGUAGAACAUGUAACAGUUAUCAUGGAGGAUGUUCCAUCCUCGCUAACUGCUAUGAUUUCCAAAGAGAGCGGAAAUCUGAUAGAUAAACACUAAACAGAACAUCUUUGUAUGAUGAUUAUAAAGUCCACACCGAAGAAACAAGCCGCAGCUUGAACUCUAAAUUAGGUAAACACAAAUCAGAUAAAAGGAAGGAUUGCAAAUUAUCAUAAUGUUUGCAAACUAAAUUAUCAUAACCGAGUCCGAAAGCGCCAUUAUUCUAUCAUUUUCCCUGCAUGUAAGCAGAGCAUUCCACAUCAUAUCACUCAGUAUGCAUUUUCAACCAAACUGGUUGAUUCGGAAGAAUCACCUGACAACGAUGAUGACUCUCCUUCAAUGUUUGUUGGCGUCUCAUCUACAUUGAAGACAGGCUUAGGAGGCACUUGCAAGUUUUCCAAAUCUCCUUCAAGCAUCUCCACAACAUUCUUCAUUGUAGGCCGAUCCAUGGGUUUCAUUUGUAUACACCACAAUCCAACCAUAAUCAUCUUCUUAACGAUCUUACUUUCUUCCUCAGUGGCAUCGACUCCGAUUUCUAUGGCCUUUCCAUCAGAUACUUGGUCAUGAACCCAAUAUGGCCAGUAGAUUUGACUUGAAUUUUCUGCCAAAGCGUUUAGAUUCUUUCUUUUGCCUACCAUUUCCAAUAGCAGCAUUCCGAAGCUAUAAACAUCAGCUUUAUAUGAGACGCGUCCAAUGUUUUUGUAGAACAAUUUGUUGGGAAAACUAGGAACAACCGGACACCAAUUUACCCGGAUCAAUUCACAAUUCACAAGUUCCAAUUCUUUUUCCUUUUUGUGCAGUAAAAACAGAAUCAAACAAUGACCAAAUAUAAUGCAAAUAAUCACACAAAUCAACACCAAGAUUUUUACGUGGAAAACCCGAUGCGGGAAAAACCACGGGACCGUAGUCCACCUAAAAACUUCCACUAUCAACAAAUAAUGGGUUCACAAUUGUUCUUUCUUAGAUUCAACUAAGGGCUACAACAUAUAUAUCAUCAAGAAUAACUUAUUCUCGGAUUACAACAAGAUUAAAGGAGAAUUAUUUGAGAAAAACUCACAAUACUGACAGCUCCACUUUCUGUCAAAACGGCCAGCUUUUACACCACUAAUAUUCGAUCCAACCGUCCAGAAUGAAGAGGAAUGUGUCUGGCAGCUGCUGUCAAAAUCUCAGCCCGAUCCAACGGUGAACGAGCCAGGAAUCGAAGAAAUGAGGCAGACUGCUCUGCUGCCUCUUCUUCCUUUCUUUCUCUCGGUUUUUCUCUUCUCUCUUGUUCAAAAUUGCUACUGCCAUCUACAGUAGCCGAACAUUUAAUUUAAAGAGGGCCAUCUGCCUCUCUUCUUAAUUAACAUGGUGGUCCCACCAUCACAUGGUGCGGGACCACACACAACAAAUCUCCCCCUCACGCACCAUGUGAGGAAUUCACCAUACUGGCGAUCAACAUGUAAGCUUCAAUUUAGGAGGCUCUGACAAGCCUGCUUUCCUUCUGCAAAACUCAAACUUCUCUCUCGGUAGAGGUUUGGUCAUCAUGUCUGACACGUUGUCAUCGGUAUGGAUCUUCUCAACAACAAAUGACUUCAUCUCCAUAGCAUCUCGAAUCCAUUGAUAUCUAACCUCAAUGUGCUUUGACCGAGAGUGAAAAGUAGGAUGCUUAUUGAGAUGGAUUGCACUUUGACUAUCACAGUGCAACACAAAGUUCUCUUGAACUAGGCCAAGUUCAUGUAAGAACUUCUUCAUCCAUAACAACUCUUUGCCCUCUUCAGUAAGAGCAAUAUAUUUAGCCUCUGUAGUGGAUAAUGCCACACAUUUUUACAACCUUGAUUGCCAUGAGACUGCUCCCCCUGCAAACUUCAUCAAGUAUCCUGAUGUGGACUUUCUAGAAUCAACAUCACCAGCCAUAUCUGCAUCUGUGUAUCCAUCCAACACAGGUUUAUCAUUACCAAAACAUAAGCUGAAACUAGAAGUACCUUUGAGAUACCUGAGUAUCCAUUUCACUGCUGACCAGUGUUCUUUACCAGGAUUGGAGAGGAACCGACUGACCACACCAACUGCAUGAGCUAUAUCCGGCCUUGUGUAAACCAUGGCAUACAUCAAGCUACCAACUGCGGAUGCAUAAGGAACCUUUUUCAUCUCAUCUCUUUCUUCAUCACUUGAAGGACACUGCUUAGAACUUAGUUUAAAGUGGCUUGCAAGUGGAGAACAAACCGGUUUGGAGUUGCUCAUGUUGAAUCUCUCAAGUACCUUUUGAACAUAUCUCUCUUGAGAUAGCCAAAGUUUCUCCUUCUUCCUGUCACGUGUGAUCUUCAUGCCAAGAAUCUGUUUGGCCGGUCCCAAGUCUUUCAUUGCAAAAGACUUGCUUAACUCUUCCUUCAACAUCUGAAUCUUCUUAGCAUCAUGGCCAACAAUCAACAUAUCAUCCACAUACAACAGGAGAAUAAUAAAGUUUCCAUCUGGAAACCUUUUCAUAAAUACACAAUGAUCAGAAGUGGUCAUGUCAUAACCAUGAUCCACCAUGAAAGAAUCAAACUUCUUGUACCAUUGUCUUGGAGCUUGCUUUAACCCAUAUAGGCUCUUUUUCAACUUGCAAACUAGCUGCUCUUUACCUUUUGCUUCAAACCCUUCAGGCUGCUCCAUGUAGAUUUCCUCAUCUAAAUCACCAUGGAGAAAGGCAGUUUUUACAUCAAGUUGCUCAACUUCAAGAUUCAAACUAGCAGCUUUUGGUUUAUGUCUUCAGAAUGGAAAAGAUGUGAUGAUUAGAGCCAGGGAGCUAUGGACAGCAUUGAGUGUGAUAAAAGGUGUUUUAAUUCUUGAUAAUUUGUGGGGUCAUUUUCUUCCUGACGAAGUGGGAAUACCUCUUAGAACAGACGGGUGGAAGUUGCUUCUCACAACGAGAUCAGCGGAGAUAUGUCGAAAAAUGGAUUGCCAAAGGAUAAUCAAAGUGGAGUCUCUUUCUGAGGGUGAGGCUUGGGAUUUGUUCAUAUACAGAUUAGGGCGUGGUGGUACAUUUUAUCCUGAGAUCGCAGAGUCUAUUGUGAAGGAGUGUGCUGGUUUGCCUCUUGGAAUCAUGACAAUGGCUCGAAGCAUGAAGGGAGUGGAUGGUGAAUAUCGUUGGAGAGAUGCAUUGCUAAAACUGAGAAGAUUAGAAGUUGGACCAAGUGAGAUGGAAGCCAAGGUAUUUCGAGUAUUGAAAUUUAGCUAUGCUCAGUUGAACGAUUCAGCACUUCAAGAGUGCUUCUUACAUAUCACACUAUUUCCAAAAGGCAAGAUCAUCUUGAGAGAGGACUUGAUAGAGUAUUUGAUUGAUGAGGGUAUAGUCAAAGUAAUGGGGGGUAGGCAUUUACAAUUUUGUAGGGGACAUACCAUGCUUGAUCAACUUGAAGAUGCCAGCUUAUUAGAAGGUUCUAGGGACGAUGAAGAUUACAGAUAUGUCAAGAUGCAUGAUUUGAUUUGGGAUGUGGCUUCGAAAAUAUUGAACAAAAGUGGGGAGGCUAUGGUUCGAGCAGGUGCACAACUAACAGAAUUACCCGGUGUAAGAUGGUGGAGAGAGGAACUGUUAAGAGUUUCACUCAUGGAAAAUAGAAUCGAGAAUAUUCCAACGGACUUUUCACCAAUGUGCCCCCGUCUCUCAACAUUAUUGUUAUGCAGAAACUACAAAUUGAAUUUGGUCGAGGAUUCUUUUUUCCAGCAUCUCAUCGGACUCACGGUUCUUGAUCUUUCCGACACAGAUAUAGAGAAGUUGCCGGAUUCUAUUUGUCAUCUGACGAGUCUCACUGCAUUGUUGCUGGGAUGGUGUGCAAAGCUGAGUUAUGUACCAUCAUUAGCAAAGCUUAAGGCAUUGGAGAAGUUGGAUCUCAGUUACACUGGACUUUAAGAUUUGCCCGAGGGAAUGGAAAGUCUGAAGGAUCUCAGGUAUCUUAAUCUUGAUCGAAGUCUGGUGGGUGUUUUACGGCCGGGGAUUUUACCCAAACUCUCCAAAUUACAGUUCCUCAAGCUUCAUCAGAAAUCUAAAGUUGUUCUCUCAGUUAGAGGAGAUGAAGUUUCCAGAUUAUUUGAUUUGGAAACUUUGGAAUGCAACUUCCGUGAUCUAGACGAUUUCAUAGUUUUCCAAAUACGGAGAUUUUCACUAAUUGCAUGCAAGGUUUCUGUGGGACGACCUUCUUUCUCUUCACUUGAAGAUCUAAAUUAUACAAGAUCGAAGUAUGGGUUAAUUAAAGAGGCUUGGUUUUAUGACCUCA
rnacentral:lncRNA from 1 species